CGUGGGUGGGGGUGCGGCCGCUGUGAACGGGGCGGGUCUGACACGAGAACUGAGGUCUCGUGGGUCCUGGCUCAGCGCCCCCAGACCGCGGCCGUCCACACUCCCGGAAUCACUGUGUGUGUGGGUGCUGUGAGCCCAGCCGGGCAGGCUGCCUCGGAGCGUCCCAGAGGAGGCCUGCGGUUGGGGGGGGGGGGGGGGGCGUGUCUCCAGAAGGCGGGGCCCCAGGCUGGACCCGCCCGGCUGUGCUUCGACCUUGGAUUCAGCUCUUCUGCUCUGCAAGUGGUCCCCUCGCGGCGGACCCACCGGCGUGUCUGGCAGUCAGGGACGCCGGGCUCCUGGAUGGCCUGAAUCGUCCAGAAUUCUCUACCAGCUAAGCAGAAGACAGCUUCGUUAGCCCCGGAUCGCAGGGAGGAAUGCACCUGUUUAUUCCAUGACAAGGCCAAGUGCCACGAUGCGCCAGCCCCCGGUCGGCCGUGUGUGAAAGCAGAGACCUCACCAAGCGCUGAUGCACAUUAAGAACCUACCGCACGUGGGGCCGGGCAACUACCCUGAGGCUGACGUGACCGAAGCGGUUCCCAUUUCACAGACGGGGAAGCAGGGAGCAGAAAGGCCUCGCUACUCCUCCAGGACCACCUCGCUGUGACGGCACAAGGAGCAGCGGGUCGGCGUUUCUCUUUGCGACGUCCGGCACACGUUCUUACACACGACGGCCUCCACCGCCACGCGCUAGUUCGGAGACCACGCGAGCCCACGUCUGUGCGGCCGCCUCACCCCUCCUCCGGCUGAACGUCCGCCUGCGGCUCGCCAGGCCUGCGCGGCCGGCCGGGUCUUCCUGCGGCUGCGGGGCGACCCGUCGCAAGGACCACCCUCGUGUGUGUCAGGAGCGCCCGCGGGUGGACGCGCACGGAGCCGCCAAGGUUUUCCGUGCGAUUCGACACAAUCACGAAUGACCUCUUGUAGGAAGACCCGUCAACGUAGAACCAAAGAGUCAGAAUGCAUCUGUAACGGUAACGGAGUGAUAUUAAAAAUUUACCCUCCGGGCGCCCGGGGGGCUCAGUCAGCUAAGUGCCCAGCGCUUGUUUUCACCUCAGGUCCCGAUCUGGCAGUUGCAGGAGUUCAAGCCCCGCGUCAGGCUCUGCGGACAAUGCUGACAGUACCGGGCCUGCUUGGGGCGCGCUCUCCUCUCUCUCUCUCUCCGUCCCUCCUUCCCUUUCUCUCUGCCCCUCCCCUACUCAUGCUAU